AGCGGAAUAGCUCAGUCAGUAGAGCAUGAGACCCUUAAUCUCAGGGUCUUGGGUUCAAGUCCCACGUUGGGUGG